UAGACCUCAAAUCAGUCAGGGCUACCCGCUGAAC
rnacentral:rRNA from 1 species